GCCUCGUCCUGCGGCUCUUCGUAGCCGUUCUCCACGAUCUCCCAAACGUCGUGGGCUCCCAAUAGCGCCUUCAUCUUGAUGCUCCAAUUGUCGAAGUUGCUCUUGUUGAGCAUGGGGACUUGAAACGAUUGUAGGUUGGCCAUUCCACAGGUAGGAUUUUAUGGCUCGGAUACCACUUUGUUGGAAUAUAAGUAUAUAUAAUGGAGAAUUUAUUUAAUUGGUAGGAGAAAAUUUGGAGAAAUUGGUUGUGGACGUGUGUGUGCUUAGGAAUUUGAGUGGGAGGAUUGUUGUUUACUAACAAAAUUUUUCUUCAAUUCACUUCAUUCUC
rnacentral:lncRNA from 1 species